CCUACGGGAGGCAGCAGUGAGGAAUAUUGGUCAAUGGACGCAAGCCUGAACCAGCCAAGCAGCGUGCAGGAUGACGGCCCUACGAGUUGUAAACUGCUUUUAUACGGGGAUAAACCCCCUUACGUGUAGCGCUUUGCAAGUACCGUACGAAUAAGGACCGGCUAAUUCCGUGCCAGCAGCCGCGGUAAUACGGAGGGUCCGAGCGUUAUCCGGAUUUAUUGGGUUUAAAGGGUGCGUAGGCGGCAUGACAAGUGUGCUGUGAAAUGUCGGGGCUCAACCCCGGAAUUGCCGCUAGAACUGUUGGGCUUGAGACUAGGUACGGUAGGCGGAAGGUGUGGUGUAGCGGUGAAAUGCUUAGAGAUGAUGCAGAACACCGAUUGCGAAGGCAGCUUACUAAA
rnacentral:rRNA from 1 species